AUUGAACGCUGGCGGCAUGCCUUACACAUGCAAGUCGAACGGCAGCACGGGAGCAAUCCUGGUGGCGAGUGGCGAACGGGUGAGUAAAGUAUCGGAACGUGCCCAGUCGUGGGGGAUAACGUAGCGAAAGUUACGCUAAUUCCGCAUACGAUCUAUGGAGGAAAGCGGGGGAUCGCAAGACCUCGCGCGAUUGUAGCGGCCGAUAUCAGAUUAGGUAGUUGGUGGGGUAAAGGCUCACCAAGCCGACGAGCUGUAGCUGGUCUGUGAGGACGACCAGCCACACUGGGACUGAGACACGGCCCAGACUCCUACGGGAGGCAGCAGUGGGGAAUUUUGGACAAUGGGCGAAAGCCUGAUCCAGCCAUGCCGCGUGCAGGAUGAAGGCCUUCGGGUUGUAAACUGCUUUUGUACGGAACGGAAAGGUUUGGGCUAAUAAGCUGAGCUCAUGACGGUACCGUAAGAAUAAGCACCGGCUAACUACGUGCCAGCAGCCGCAGUAA
rnacentral:rRNA from 1 species